rnacentral:pre_miRNA from 1 species
UGUCGAUAUAUGGCGGACGGUAUUCAAGUGCUAAUAAUACGCCAUUACGAUAUUAUUGCUCGAGAAUACCCGUCGCCCACGAC